GACGUAGGGCGCGAGCGUUGUCCGGAUUUAUUGGGCGUAAAGAGCUCGUAGGCGGCUUGUCGCGUCGUCCGUGAAAACCCACAGCUCAACUGUGGGCUUGCGGUCGAUACGGGCAGGCUGGAGUUCGGUAGGGGGAGACUGGAAUUCCUGGUGUAGCGGUGAAAAUGCGCAGAUAUCAGGAGGAACACCGGUGGCGAAAGGCGGGGUCUCUGGG
rnacentral:rRNA from 1 species